CCUACGGGAGGCAGCAGUGGGGAAUAUUGCACAAUGGGCGCAAGCCUGAUGCAGCCAUGCCGCGUGUGUGAAGAAGGCCUUCGGGUUGUAAAGCACUUUCAGCGGGGAGGAAGGCGUUAAGGUUAAUAACCUUGGCGAUUGACGUUACCCGCAGAAGAAGCACCGGCUAACUCCGUGCCGGCAGCCGCGGUAAUACGGAGGGUGCAAGCGUUAAUCGGAAUUACUGGGCGUAAAGCGCACGCAGGCGGUCUGUCAAGUCGGAUGUGAAAUCCCCGGGCUCAACCUGGGAACUGCAUUCGAAGCUGGCAGGCUAGAGUCUUGUAGAGGGGGUAGAAUUCCAGGUGUAGCGGUGAAAUGCGUAGAGAUCUGGAGGAAUACCGGUGGCGAAGGCGGCCCCCUGGACAAAGACUGACGCUCAGGUGCGAAAGCGUGGGGAGCAAACAGGAUUAGAUACCCGAGUAGUC
rnacentral:rRNA from 1 species